UACACUCCUGCGGGAGGCAGCAGUGGGGAAUAUUGCACAAUGGGCGCAAGCCUGAUGCAGCCAUGCCGCGUGUAUGAAGAAGGCCUUCGGGUUGUAAAGUACUUUCAGCGGGGAGGAAGGCGAUAAGGUUAAUAACCUUGUUGAUUGACGUUACCCGCAGAAGAAGCACCGGCUAACUCCGUGCCAGCAGCCGCGGUAAUACGGAGGGUGCAAGCGUUAAUCGGAAUUACUGGGCGUAAAGCGCACGCAGGCGGUCUGUCAAGUCGGAUGUGAAAUCCCCGGGCUCAACCUGGGAACUGCAUUCGAAACUGGCAGGCUAGAGUCUUGUAGAGGGGGGUAGAAUUCCAGGUGUAGCGGUGAAAUGCGUAGAGAUCUGGAGGAAUACCGGUGGCGAAGGCGGCCCCCUGGACAAAGACUGACGCUCAGGUGCGAAAGCGUGGGGAGCAAACAGGAUUAGAAACCCGGGUAGUCCCAU
rnacentral:rRNA from 1 species